rnacentral:hammerhead_ribozyme from 1 species
GCACUACUGAAGAGUCCCACAAUAGGACGUAACGGCCGUCCAGUGC